UGUUCAGCAGGACACCAAAAAAGGCAAAUACAGAUGAGAAAUCUAGAUAUAAAAUAGCUAGGAUAGAAAUGCUGCAACUAAAAAUACAGUAAACUAGCUAGCUAAAUGUGACCUGAACUGAGUAAAUGAAAAAGAAUCAUUUGACGUCAGAAAAUGAGGAAAUUGAAACUUUGAAAUCUGACCUAUGAUGUGAUCACCAGUGCUGAUGUUUACUUCUAAAGGUUAGAACCUAGAAUGCUGCUCCAGCUGCGAGCACCACGGACACGCUCAACCCUCUUCCUCCCUGAGAUGGACACCUUCAGAGUCCGCCCACUAGGGUUGUCACCUUUAACCUUGAGGUCAGGGGCUGAGGUGAAGAUGCUCAUAGUGUUCCAGUGUUGCAUCUGUCUUCAUUUUCAACUGUCUGGAACAUCUUUAACCCCUGGAUCACCAACAAUCGCUUAUACACACAAACAAUAGCACACACACACACACACUCAUGCAUGUCAUGAGAAUGUUUAUAAUAAUGCAAGAACUUUUUAAAAGUUUUGAUUGUUUUGUUGGAUUGAGACCUGAGAUAUGGACAUACAUGAAACAGAACGCUGUUGUUUUCAAGUCAAACAGACCUUCUGGUUAACAACAUGGUUAAUGAAUAGGAUGAGUGAAUGUGUAGGUUGAGUAUAUUCUUCUUAGGAAGAUGAAAAUGGAAUAAAUUCAUAUUUAUUGAGACAGGCUAAGAUUCAAGUACAAGAAAAGAUGAUGAAGAAGAGUGAGUGGUGAGUGAGAGAGAGAGAGAGCUCUGAUCAGUGGUUUGGCUGAACUCACCAUGAACCAUGACAAAUUUAUUUUCUCCAGAGUCUUUCUCUCUCCCAGAGGGAUCCAGAUUUACAUCUCUCUCUCUCUCUCUCUCUCUCUCUCUCUCUCUCUCUCUCUCUCUCUCUCUCACUCUCUCACAGACAGGAACUCAAGGAGGUUGGGGGCUUGUUUUUGAGGCCCAACAUUGAACUAUGUGUCCACAGUGUAGUCCACAUAUAUUUGUAGUAAAAACUGUCCUGAAGCUGAAGACUUGCUUCAUGCUCUAAAACCUAUCCAUCAGGCAACCUUGGCUGAGUUGAGCUGAUUAACUGCAGUCUAGUGUGCAGACUUGGUCAGGAAUUAUCUCUACAUAUUCAGUCAUGAGUAUCACUUUAUAUUAGAAUUAUGAUUGAGGCAAAGACUGGAGCAUUGAUGGAUGUGUGGAUAGCAGAGUGCAUGCAUAUGUGUGUGUGUGUGUGUGUGUGUGUGUGUGUGUGAGAGAGAGAGAGAGAGAGAGAGAGAGAGAGAGAAGUAGUGUGCUGUAGUGUUGAAGUGAUUGAUGUUAAUAGAUGGAUGCUGAGAGACCCACCACACCACAUUCAUAAAUAUGUUGAGUACGUUGAAUAAAUAUGCAGGCACAUGAUAUGGCAAGGUAAUGGAGAAUGUGUGCAUGCAUUUGUGUGGAUGUUUGUAUGCGUCUCAACUCUAGGUGAACUUAGCGCUGAGUGAGGGGACAAACUCAAGCUGACUUUAUAGUGUGUGUAUGUGUGUGUGUGUGUGUGUGAGAGAGAGAGAGAGAGAGAGAGAGAGAGAGAGAUAGAAAGAAUGUUACAUCUCUAGCUUUAUUAAUUGUGUACUCAUCAAUGCAUGCCACGUGCAGUAGGUUUUAUAUAUCUAUGUAAAUGAAACAUUUGAAAUAAAAAGCACAAUUCUAAUGUGUAUGUGAUGAUUGUAG